rnacentral:rRNA from 1 species
UACGAAGGGGGCUAGCGUUGCUCGGAAUCACUGGGCGUAAAGGGUGCGUAGGCGGGUCUUUAAGUCCGGGGUGAAAUCCUGGAGCUCAACUCCAGAACUGCCUUUGAUACUGAAGAUCUUGAGUUCGGGAGAGGUGAGUGGAACUGCGAGUGUAGAGGUGAAAUUCGUAGAUAUUCGCAAGAACACCAGUGGCGAAGGCGGCUCACUGGCCCGAUACUGACGCUGAGGCACGAAAGCGUGGGGGGCAAACAGG